AGCGAAUAGCGCUCAGAUCCCACACACAUAGUUCAAUCGCCAUGGAGUCAAAGUUCUUACAGUCUUUCGGUAUACGAAUGAAGGAAGGCUAUCUGGGUUAAGUCCUUUCGUAUGCUUCAAAACUCCCGAACGGCCGGUAUUCGUAUGCUUUCGUGGAGGCAGCCAGGCGUUCCGUUGUUUCAGCGGUGUUCGGCAGAAAAAGUAUCCGUUUUUAGUUCCAUGAAAAUAGAGCCGAACACCACUGGGCUUUUGCAUGUUUUAAAAUGGCCGCUGGUCCAUAUACGAACGACGACCACCCUGAAUUCGGUUUAAUUGAGAAGUGUCUGCGGUUAACCACAACGUUCUAAUUGGGAUCAAUAGGUUAACCAGCAGCACACUUCUCUUCUGGGUGGUCAUCCGUUCGGUAGUUUUGUUCGGGAAAAACGGUCAUUCGUAUGGCUGGGCUAUAGGAACCAGCCAUUUACACGAACGGGGCGAAACAGACGAAUCCACCUACAAUAAACAGACAGAUGGUUUUGUCACAGCACCUUUUCACAUGAAAGUCACUUUUUAAGAUGUCUUUUUCCA